GGCCGCGGGAAUUCGAUUCAGGCCUAACACAUGCAAGUCGAGCGGUAGAGAGAAGCUUGCUUCUCUUGAGAGCGGCGGACGGGUGAGUAAUGCCUAGGAAUCUGCCUGGUAGUGGGGGAUAACGUUCGGAAACGGACGCUAAUACCGCAUACGUCCUACGGGAGAAAGCAGGGGACCUUCGGGCCUUGCGCUAUCAGAUGAGCCUAGGUCGGAUUAGCUAGUUGGUGAGGUAAUGGCUCACCAAGGCUACGAUCCGUAACUGGUCUGAGAGGAUGAUCAGUCACACUGGAACUGAGACACGGUCCAGACUCCUACGGGAGGCAGCAGUGGGGAAUAUUGGACAAUGGGCGAAAGCCUGAUCCAGCAAGGCCGCGUGUGUGAAGAAGGUCUUCGGAUUGUAAAGCAAAGGAAGUUGGGAGGAAGGGCAUUAACCUAAUACGUUAGUGUUUGACGUACCGACAGA
rnacentral:rRNA from 1 species